UACGGAGGGGACUAGCGUUGUUCGGAAUUACUGGGCGUAAAGCGCACGUAGGCGGAUUUGUAAGUCAGGGGUGAAAUCCCGGGGCUCAACCUCGGAACUGCCUUUGAUACUGCAAAUCUUGAGUCCGGAAGAGGUGAGUGGAAUUCCUAGUGUAGAGGUGAAAUUCGAUAGAUAUUAGGAAGAACACCAGUGGCGAAGGCGGCUCACUGGUCCGGUACUGACGCUGAGGUGCGAAAGCGUGGGGAGCAAACAGG
rnacentral:rRNA from 1 species